rnacentral:rRNA from 1 species
CCUACGGGUGGCAGCAGUGAGGAAUAUUGGUCAAUGGGCGAGAGCCUGAACCAGCCAAGCCGCGUGAGGGAGUACUGCCCUAUGGGUUGUAACUCUCUUUUGUCGGGGCGCAAAAGCCGGACGUGUCCGGCUGUGAGAGUACCCGAAGCAAAAGCACCGCCUAACACCGGGCCGGCAGCCGCGGUAAUAUGGGGGAUGCGAGCGUUAGCAGGAUGUAUUGGGUUAAAAGGGUGCGCAGGGGGCGAGUCAAGUCAGCGGUAAAAUGUCGGGGCUUAACCCCGGCCGGCAGUUGAAACUGGCGUGCUCGAGUUGGAGAGAAGUAUGCGGAAUUCGUGGUGUAGCGGUGAAAUGCAUAGAUAUCACGAAGAACCCCGAUUGCGAAGGCAGAAUACCGGCUCCACACUGACGCUGAGGCACGAAAGCGUGGGUAUCGAACAGGAUUAGAUACCCGUGUAGUC